rnacentral:rRNA from 1 species
GAUGAACGCUGGCGGCGUGCCUAACACAUGCAAGUCGAGCGAUUCUCUUCGGAGAAGAGCGGCGGACGGGUGAGUAACGCGUGGGUAACCUGCCCUGUACACACGGAUAACAUACCGAAAGGUAUGCUAAUACGAGAUAAUAUGCUUUCGUCGCAUGGCAGAAGUAUCAAAGCUCCGGCGGUACAGGAUGGACCCGCGUCUGAUUAGCUAGUUGGUAAGGUAACGGCUUACCAAGGCGACGAUCAGUAGCCGACCUGAGAGGGUGAUCGGCCACAUUGGAACUGAGACACGGUCCAAACUCCUACGGGAGGCAGCAGUGGGGAAUAUUGCACAAUGGGCGAAAGCCUGAUGCAGCAACGCCGCGUGAGCGAUGAAGGCCUUCGGGUCGUAAAGCUCUGUCCUCAAGGAAGAUAAUGACGGUACUUGAGGAGGAAGCCCCGGCUAACUACGUGCCAGCCGCCGCGGUAA